rnacentral:rRNA from 1 species
GACGAACGCUGGCGGCGUGCUUAACACAUGCAAGUCGAACGCUGAAGCUCAGCUUGCUGGGUGGAUGAGUGGCGAACGGGUGAGUAACACGUGAGUAACCUGCCCUCUUCUUUGGGAUAACGCCCGGAAACGGGUGCUAAUACUGGAUAUUCACUGAUUCUCGCAUGGGGGUUGGUGGAAAGGUUUUUUCUGGUGGGGGAUGGGCUCGCGGCCUAUCAGCUUGUUGGUGGGGUGAUGGCCUACCAAGGCUUUGACGGGUAGCCGGCCUGAGAGGGUGACCGGUCACAUUGGGACUGAGAUACGGGCCAGACUCCUACGGGAGGCAGCAGUGGGGAAUAUUGCACAAUGGGAGAAAGCCUGAUGCAGCGACGCCGCGUGAGGGAUGGAGGCCUUCGGGUUGUAAACCUCUUUCGCUCAUGGUCAAGCCGCAGCUUUGGGUUGUGGUGAGGGUAGUGGGUAAAGAAGCGCCGGCUAACUACGUG